rnacentral:lncRNA from 1 species
AUGGAGGCUUUGGCCUUCCAAACUAAAUUAGAUUUACUUUCUUGUUGUUCAUGACCCUCCCACCAUCUUCAUGACGGUGUGUGUAGUGGUGAAUCAUAUAAUGAGGUUUCAACCUCCAUGCUUGACAAUACAUGAUACUACAUGACAUUCUUUGAUUGGACAUAGUUUAGGUCAUAUUAUUACCUUAUAAAUAUACAUAUAAUUAUACAAUACAUGGCUGAAUUUGUGAUGGUAAUCAAGUUGUGAUUAUUCGUCACAAAACCUAGGCUAACAUAUCUAAGAUUCUAAGUUAUUUGUUAUGAUUCCAAUGGGCAAUUUGGGACCCAUGAAACCACUUAAUAUGGUGUCAUAAACGAGCUCUUAGAACUAGAUAAUAUUUUCAUAUACAUACUUUUGAUACUUUAAUUUCUAAAUCCCGAAUCUCACCACUUCCUAAAUAUCAAGAAACCUUGCCAAUAAAUCCUUAUUCUCUAACAACUCGCCACUCAUGGAUAAUCGGAAAGCAUAUGCAAUUUUGUUGAUGAGGACGAUGCUAAGAAAAGAAAUAGCGUUGAUGCCUAGAU